rnacentral:rRNA from 1 species
AAGUAGUUAAGAGCGUAUGGAGGAUGCCUUGGCUCUCAGAGACGAUGAAGGACGUGCUAAGCUGCGAUAAGCUACGGGAAGUUGCACAGAAACUGUGAUCCGUAGAUUUCCGAAUGGGGCAACCCAGCAUAUUGAAGAUAUGUUAUCCUUAGGGAGGUUAACCCGGAGAACUGAAACAUCUAAGUACCCGGAGGAAGAGAAAACAAUAGUGAUUCCGCAAGUAGUGGCGAGCGAACGCGGAACAGCCCAAACCUUGAUCGUUACGGCGGUUGAGGGGUUGUAGGACUGUAAUAUGGACUUUAUAAUGAACGAGAAUGAUCUGGGAAGGUCAACCAUAGAGGGUGAAAGUCCCGUAUUGGUAAAAUUAUAAUACCUAGCAGUAUCCUGAGUAGGACGGGACCGGAGAAAUCCCGUUUGAAUCCACCGGCACCAUCCGGUAAGGCUAAAUACUCCUGAGAGACCGAUAGUGAACAAGUACCGUGAGGGAAAGGUGAAAAGUACCCUGAAUAAGGGGGUGAAAUAGUACCUGAAACCAUACGCUUACAAACGGUCGGAGCAGCUUUGUGCUGUAACGGCGUGCCUUUUGCAUAAUGAGCCUACGAGUUAGUGUUGUUGGCAAGGUUAAUACUUUAAGAGUUGAAGCCGAAGCGAAAGCGAGUCUUAACAGGGCGAUCAGUCAGCAGUACUAGACGCGAAACUUGGUGAUCUACCCAUGACCAGGGUGAAGUGUGAGUAACAUCACAUGGAGGCCCGAACCAGUUGACGUUGAAAAGUCUUUGGAUGAGUUGUGGGUAGGGGUGAAAGGCCAAUCAAACUGAGAGAUAGCUCGUACUCCCCGAAAUGCUUUUAGGAGCAGCGUGGAAUUUAGUUUAUCAGAGGUAGAGCUACCGAUUGGACUAGGGGGAGUCAAAUCCUACCAAAUCCAGACGAACUCCGAAUGCUGAUAAAUAUAUUCCGCAGUGAGGGCUCGGGUGCUAAGGUCCGAGUCCGAGAGGGAAAGAACCCAGACCUACAGCUAAGGUCCCUAAAUUUGUAUUAAGUUGAACUAAGGAGGUUCAGUUGCUUAGACAGCCAGGAUGUUGGCUUGGAAGCAGCCAUUCAUUUAAAGAGUGCGUAACAGCUCACUGGUCGAGCGACAGAGCAUCGAUAAUAAUCGGGCAUCAAAUACAAUACCGAAGCUUAGGAUCAUUUAUGAUGGUAGGGGAGCAUUCACUAAACAAUGAAGGUGUGACGUGAGUUAUGCUGGAGACUAGUGAAGAGCAAAUGUAGGCAUAAGUAACGAUAAGGCAGGCGAGAAACCUGCCCACCGAUAGACUAAGGAUUCCCCGGCAAUGCUAAUCAGCCGGGGGUUAGUCGGGACCUAAGGCGAACCCGAAAGGGGUAGUCGAUGGACAACUGGUUAAUAUUCCAGUACCACCUUUAUUUUCGAUGGGGUGACGGAGUAGUGAAAGUACCGCGUACUGACGGAAUAGUACGUUAAAGAGUGUAGGUAUAGGCACAGUAGGUAAAUCCGCUGAGCUUGCUGAACUUGAUAGUACCACAACGCUUCGGCAGCGUGGAUAGUGGACCUAAUCAGACUUCCAAGAAAAACCUCUAAACAUAUGUAUAUGGUACCCGUACCGCAAACCGACACAGGUAGUCAAGGAGAGAAUCCUAAGGUGCUCGAGUGAUUCAUGGCUAAGGAACUAGGCAAAAUAGACCCGUAACUUCGGGAGAAGGGUCGCCCUGUAGCAAUACAGGGCCGCAGUGAAAAGGUCCAGGCGACUGUUUAUCAAAAAC